GUGCCAGCCGCCGCGGUAAGACGUAGGAUGCAAGCGUUGUCCGGAAUCAUUGGGCGUAAAGCGUUCGUAGGCGGUAUACCAAGUCUGAUGUUAAAGCCCGGAGCUCAACUCCGGUUCGGCAUUGGAUACUGGUAAACUAGAGUGCAAUAGAGGUAAGGGGAAUUCCUAGUGUAGCGGUGAAAUGCGUAGAUAUUAGGAGGAACACCGGUGGCGAAAGCGCCUUACUGGGUUGUAACUGACGCUGAGGAACGAAAGCCAGGGUAGCAAAUGGGAUUAGAUACCCGGGUAGUCC
rnacentral:rRNA from 1 species